rnacentral:ribozyme from 1 species
AAAGAUGAACAAAGUCCAGAAGAAGACCAAGUUUUAGCACAAUUCAUGCCUCCUAGUUGUUUGGCAUUCUGUUUUUUUUUAUUUUUUUUUUUAUGCAGGAUUUUUCUCUC